CCUACGGGAGGCAGCAGCAGGGAAUAUUGCACAAUGGACGGAAGUCUGAUGCAGCGACGCCGCGUGGAUGAUGAAGGCCUUCGGGUUGUAAAAUCCUUUUCAGGGGGACGAGGAAGGACGGUACCCUUGGAAUAAGCGUCGGCUAACUACGUGCCAGCAGCCGCGGUAAGACGUAGGACGCGAGCGUUAUCCGGAUUUACUGGGCGUAAAGCGUCUGUAGGCGGAACAGUAAGUUGGGCGUGAAAGCUCCGGGCUCAACCCGGAGAGGUCGCUCAAUACUGCUGAACUAGAGGUCACCAGAGGGGCGUGGAAUUUCCGGUGUAGCGGUAAAAUGCGCAGAUAUCGGAAGGAACACCAGUGGCGAAGGCGGCGCCCUGGGGUGGACCUGACGCUAAGAGACGAAAGCUAGGGGAGCGAACAGGAUUAGAGACCCUGGUAGUCCUGGCCGUAAACGAUGGAUGCUAGGUGUGGGACCGACAGGUUCCGUGCCGGAGUAAACGCGCUAAGCAUCCCGCCUGGGGACUACGG
rnacentral:rRNA from 1 species